GACGAACGCUGGCGGCGUGCCUAAUACAUGCAAGUAGAACGCACAGUUUAUACCGUAGCUUGCUACACCAUAGACUGUGAGUUGCGAACGGGUGAGUAACGCGUAGGUAACCUGCCUGGUAGCGGGGGAUAACUAUUGGAAACGAUAGCUAAUACCGCAUAAUAUUAAUUAUUGCAUGAUAAUUAAUUGAAAGGUGCAAUUGCACCACUACCAGAUGGACCUGCGUUGUAUUAGCUAGUAGGUGAGGUAACGGCUCACCUAGGCGACGAUACAUAGCCGACCUGAGAGGGUGAUCGGCCACGCUGGGACUGAGACACGGCCCAGACUCCUACGGGAGGCAGCAGUAGGGAAUCUUCGGCAAUGGACGAAAGUCUGACCGAGCAACGCCGCGUGAGUGAAGAAGGUUGUCGGAUCGUAAAGCUCUGUUGUAAGAGAAGAACGGGUGUGAGAGUGGAAAGUUCACACUGUGACGGUAUCUUAACAGAAAGGGACGGCUAACUACGUG
rnacentral:rRNA from 1 species